CACGUAGGGCGCAAGCGUUGUCCGGAAUUAUUGGGCGUAAAGAGCUCGUAGGCGGUCUGUUGCGUCCGCUGUGAAAACCCGGGGCUUAACCCCUGGCUUGCAGUGGAUACGGACAGACUAGAGGUAGGUAGGGGAGAAUGGAAUUCCCGGUGUAGCGGUGAAAUGCGCAGAUAUCGGGAGGAACACCGGUGGCGAAGGCGGGUCUCUGGACAGUUCCUGACACUGAGACACGAAGGCCAGGGAGCAAACGGG
rnacentral:rRNA from 1 species